CCUUCGUUAGGUAAGGCUCCUGUGUGGAGAUACGCUACUGCCCAAAAACGUCCAAAGACGCCAAUGGGUCAACAGGAAUCAUCGACAUAAGGUGAUUUUUAAUGUAGCUGGUGUUAUACCUAUGCCGCACAGUGCUAAAGCUCUACGAUUGGAGGA
rnacentral:sRNA from 1 species